rnacentral:tmRNA from 1 species
GGGGCUGAAAAGGUUUCUACGUUUCGAUGCUAUAUUUAAGUGCUAUUUUACCGAUUUUCAUUUCUAAUUUUAUUUAGUAAUGUAUGUAACUUAUUUGCAAAACACAAUAUUGUAGCUUUUUCCAAAAACUUAGUAACUUUAUAAAUCGUAUAGCUUAGUUUAUUGGAAUAUUAAAUUGUCUUAUCUUAUUCAAUUUAUAUUAUAAAUAAAGUAUGCUCUGACUAUAAGUAAUAUUUUAAAUUUUAAUAAAUUAUUUAACUAAAUAGUUUGUUAAGUAGACUUUAAGUGAAAAAUUCAGUUUUUACUAAAUUAGUUAAUAGCAAUAAGCUUAAAUGUACUAUCGAAAUGGACGUGGGUUCAAAUCCCACCAGUUCCA